ensembl:lncRNA
CCCGAAGUCCACGUCCAGCCAGCUUCAAGAGCCUACGUCCUUUUUUUGGACUUGGCUCUUUGUCAAAACCAUAGGGUACAGUGCCUGCAGGGACUUCAAAGGAAAGGCACCAAAUGUGAUUUGGCCCAGGCCAUUUAUUGCUAGCAUCUUUGUUAGAUACUGCUGCCAAGGGUUAAAAUGUUUACAUGCCCCCUGAUUUUAAAUGGACUGGGUUGCAUGUCAGAUGCCAACGGGAGAGACAGCUGGAGUAUCUAAACCAAGAGCUUUGAUCUUAGUAUCUGUAAAAAAGAGGUCAUUUGGUCUCCCAGGAAGCAGAGACAUUUAGAAGGUCCCUGUACAACUCAUGCAAGUAUUUUAUUAACGACAAUUUUUAUUCAAAUGUAGGUAGGUUCUAUUACUACUUACUGAAUGCAUAUGUGCAUGUAUAUGUAUGAAUAUCCAUGUCGGUAAAUAUGCAUGUAUAUAUGUUUGUAGAUACAUUACGUUGUGUGCUUUUGUAUGUGUGCAUUCUAACAUCCUGUGUUUCUAUAUGUACUAAUCUGUUUAUUUCAUUUGCAAAGACAUGACCAUGCUUCAAGCAUGAUGUUUACCUCUCUGUGCUGUUGACGAUAACCUGAAGCACUCUGCUGAGCAAACACAAAUCUUUGAGCAACACUAUAAUUGCAGUAAGUCUGUGCAGCUCUCUCAAGAAGAUGCAGGGAUGAAAACACAGGCUUCAUUGUCCUGUAAUCAUGUCUGACAUUGAUUCAGAAGAGAGGAAUUCUAAAAUAUGAUAUUGCACAGGGGAAAUAUUUCUAUUCUUUUAGUAGAAGAUUUUGUGGUUAGUUCACAAUGCAAUUAAAAUAGCCACCAGAUGUUUAUGACUUCAGGCAGCAGUUAGCUUUAGUGUCCCUGAUCACUGUCCUUUGCUCCUUUGUCAAAAUAAAUAAGUAUUUUCUGUGCUGGAGAAGAAAACCUUAAUUUUUAAGCAUACUGGGGGGGGAUGGUCUGUAUUUCCAUUUGCCAGUGCUCAUGUUCCUCUAUGACAGGCUUGUAAGCAACCAUAAUCUUUAAGUUAAAAUAACAUCUCUCUCCAGGAUGAAAUAAACAUUUUCCUUAAAUGUGAGACGAAGCCUACAGUAUCUUGUCAUUAAACUGAUCUGUGACAAGUAGUAUUAGAAAACAAUGUGGCUUUUCCAGAGUGUGUCAUAAAUAUGGAAAGAUACUUUUUCUAAUGUCCCCUGUUGAAUAAUAGAAUUAUUAAUAUGCAGUUUAUUUUUAAAGACACAUUUAAAGAAAGCCUGCUGUGCUCCGACUUGGGUAAUUUUCCUUAGAGUCCAUUAUUCUUAUUUGUUUCAGGGCUAUUAAUUUUGAGGCCACAUUAUAUUCAAAUUAUGGUUGAUUACUAGGCUCGAUAAGUGAUCGUAGUUUGCAUUUCAUUACCCAAAAGGCAGCUAAUGAAGUUAGCUGUGCACUAACAUUUGGAGAAGGGAAUUAUUUGAGCUCCACAAAACAGAUGAAAAAAGAAGGAAAAAAAUAAAACGAGCUGCAAAAACUUAUGAGAGCAGCAGGAGAAAUUGAGGGGGGAGAAUAUCACCAACAGGCAUCCUAAUUGUCUGAGAUGCUGGAUUGAUAAAAUAAUGGAGAAUUGAAGUGAAAGGUUCCGAACCAACUCGACAAUGUGGGAAUAUGUGAGAGAGAAUAUUACAUGCGUGAGCUCAGUGUUAAAUAGUGAAGUGACAGCGCAACCUUCAGAAACACGAUAGUGGCGUUUAAAUCAAAUCACGCUGAACAAAGACAUGAAGAGGUAACAUGAGGCUUUGUGUGACUUGUCUGUGUUGAUGAAGGCUGUGGAGAGCUGUGUUAAUGCACAGAAAGCGGCGGUUUCUUACCUAAGCUGGGUACUGCCACGGAUUGCAGCAAAGAGGGAGUCCUGCAGGUAUUGAGAGAGAAAUAAGCAGAAGGAUGUGAAUUUUCAGGGCUGCCCCGAGCUCUGAGGACUCAAUGAGAAGAUGUUCAGCAUCUCCUACACCAGAGCCUCUCAAGGCACACAGAAUACAAAGAGAACCCUGAAAUAGCAUUCUGUGUCCUGUUUUGCAGCCUCUCAUAGAAGUGCCAUCAUUCGGCACCGUGGGGCUCUCCCGUAUAUAUCCCAACCCCUCUUCUCCAGGUGUUUGUCAAAUGCAGGAAGCUGUUGCAGUGCAUUUCAGCUCAGGCACACAGGCAUUUUUCCCUGCUGCACGGCUGCUGCUUUCUGUGCUCUCUCCUUGCACUGCUCCCGUUGCAUCUGCUCAAGCUGAGAGCUGCAGCUCUGGGCACUCAUCAGCUCCAGCUGACGGGCGCUCAGAUACCGCUCAUAUCAAAGCCUCACACUCCACCCAAAGCCCCGUGUUUCAUUAGCUCCUCAGUGCUGCUAUUGUGAAAGUUGUUCACAUUGUAGGAGGGUGAAGGAGGGAGUUGGGAGUUUUUCAUUUUAAUUUUAAGUGCAGUGUUUUGGGAUGCUUGAGCUGUGUCAGGUUUGCUGGUAGUUGUUGCUUUGGAACAUUUGCAUUUCAUCCGAAUGAGGGCAAGUGGAUUGUAAUGGGUCAGCUAGUUAAUGCAAGUCACCCCACAUCUAGGAAAUUGUAUUUCUGUAGAAUACCAGUAAGUCACAUUUACUCAGAUCAGGGCACAAUGCCAAAACCAAGACCAGGUCGUGCCCGCGUCCUCACGCUGGGCUGUCCAAGUUAAUGGGCACACUCGUUUUGCUGUGUAUCAAAUCCCAGCAAUUGCAUUUAAACUCUGAAUAAGAAGUGGUAGCCUGAAGCAUGUGCAUCUCCAGCAGUAUUAUUUCCCCAAAAAAUGAUAUUUUUUUAACCUUCCUUUUCUUGCUUAAUAAUACGUCUCUGUACUAGUGUGCAGGAUUGCUAUGCAAACAUAUAACAACACAGUUCUCUCCUUCAAAAUACUUUCCGUCCCAAAGAGUAAACCUCUUUUUCUCAGCUGCCUCUUUUCUCCCCUCUUGCUGAAGAGGGGAGCGCAUCAUCUUUGUGCUGUUUCAUUUUUAAGCUGUUGUAGAUAUUACCCAGAGUCUAAAAUCAGUGUCAGUCAUUUUUGCAGCGUGUUCCCAUCUGUGCUGAGGAAUUCUCCCAUGGUUGUUGCUGUGCCUUUUUCCUUGCAUAAGCACCCAGUGUAGCUCUCAUUCUUCCACAGCUAGGAAGGGGUACAAUAGUUCCCUUGUUGUAUUUUUUGAUUACUUUCCAGCAUGAAUUACUUUUCAGCAUGAUCAAGAGCUGCACAGGAGAAUUAUGAGCCUUGAUUAAAUACCAGUAUUUCCUUCUGUCAUUUUUCAGUGUGUUAUCUUACGUGUGCCACAAGAAGUUCCUUAUUGUUUUAUUAUGAGAAGUUAAAUAUUAACACCUGAUCUCACGGCCCGAUGUUGUUCACUACUCGGUGUGUUUUUUAUCAUGUCCUUCCUCCUCUCUGACCUCUUUUGGCUUCUGCUUCUCAGCUCACUUUGGAUGUCGGGUCUGCAUCUUGCAGACACGUUACCCACUCCGAUAUUCCUACUGGCUCAAUGGGACUGUUCAGAUGUGCAAAGUAACUCAAGUAUUUGAGCAUUUGGGGGAGCAGGGUGUGAAGCAGAGAGUGCACAAGCCAGGCAGGCUCCAGAAAAGCUUUUCUGAACCGCAAUGAGUUUAACAUGUUAAAAUCCACAAAAUGCAAGACAGAUGGGAAAUCAGGUUGGCUACAAAAGAUAAGAACGCUCCGAUAACUUCUGACUCUCCCUUUGAUGUUCUCCAUGCAAAGCCUCACUGGUAACAGGGUCACCUAAUGCAAAAUAAUAAAUAAGCAGGGAGGCAGUGUGCAAUUAGCCACCAUUCAGAAAGUGUUUGAAUAAAGCACAGUUUUGCCCUGCUGGAGCUGCUGGAAGUUGUUUGUAUAACAGCCUCCCUGUUGCCCAGAAACAGCACAUGAGACCACUGAGCAUCUGCAGAAACUCAGAUCUGGUUUGUUUGACUUGGACAUGCAGUAAAACUGACUUUAAAUGUUACUUCAGCUUUGAGUCAGUGAUUACCCUUGUGCUUUUACAAUCCGUGCCUGGAAAUGGGAUGUUAAUUGUUGUUAAUGAGUCUGUCCACCUGGGAAAGCUCUGCAGGGCAAAACUCACAGAAUGUAAUUGCUUGUGUUGCCUUCAGCAUCCUCCUCCGACUGUUGUCUCUUGUAUUUGUGAGCAACGCCUCCAAAUCUGCCAACUCAGAUCUUGGAGUUUUCUCUCCAUCCAGGACAGUAGCCAAUUUCUAUCUGUCUCUAAGCUGUGCUUCCAUGUGAUUUUUUGGAGCAAUACCGAGAUUCAGCUCUUGCAGGUAUCUUUGGCACGGGGGAAGGACACUGGUGGGUAUACGCUUUGGGGAAAGUUUACACACUGAGCUGGAGCUCUCUGUUCCUAAAGCAAAUGAAACCAUAGUCUAGGUGAGAGUGCUAGUGCACCAAGCUGCUUUAUCUCAGUGGCACUUUUUGUGCACUAUUUCUGUUCCAUUUUUUCUCAAAUUUUUAUUCACCUCACUUCUACUAUCACAGCUUAGGACCAAUUGUUACCACUUUUCUUUGCAAUCCAUCCACAGUGUUCUCCUACAGAGUGAGAUUUCACGGGAGCUCCCUCUGUAAAUUAUGAGUACAUACAUAAAAAGAACUAUAUUCCUAUUUGAGGUAGAGGCAAGAAACAGUCUCACCUGUUUGAAACACAAGAGAGAGUUGGAUUUUAUGUUUUUGAGUGUUUUCUGCCUGAUGUCUGUGGAGGCAUUCAAGGCUGGGUUGCAUUGGGUACUUGGUAUUUUGAUCUAGUGGUCGGCAACCCUGCCCAUGGCAGAGAGUUGGAACUAGAUGAUCUUUGAGGCCUCUUCCAACCCAAACCACUCUAUGAUUCUGUGGUGCUCUGAUGUUAUUCAUAUGGAAAAACAAACAAACAAACAAAAAAAAUCAAUAUUGGAUUCUGAGAUUUUGGUGUCAUAGUUGAUAAUCCCAUUAAUCUGCAUCUAGCUCUCCAGGCUUCUUGUGCAAAAUACAUCACUCCCUAGACCACUCCAAGUGUCUGUUGAAAGGGCUAUAUUACACCACAUGAUCCUUGAACUCAUUCUUUACUUGCAGGACAAAAUAAUGGAUGGGAAUUUCAGUAAGAAGCAACUGUUGCUUAGGCUUAGCUGCUUUGGGCCCAGAGACAAGAACUCUUGGAAAGUUCCCCAUGAGCAACUGCUCAGCCUGUGGGGUUUGGCUUUUGAGACCAAAGCUGUCAUGGUGUCACAAAAGUAGGUAGCAGUGGUAUUUCCAAACUCACAUUUUCAAGAAAUCUGAUGGAAAAUCAGGUGAACAUGCUGGGGCUCAUGGAAACUCAUGUCCUCAGGUCUAACAUCUUCAUCUUACUGGUGGAACAAUUAUUUCAGCUUAAUCUUCCUCCAAGGUCAGAGACUGCAGUGACUUUCUUCUGACCUCUAUAUCACCUUCAUUGUGUUGCUGUCCCUUGCAUUGUCUCACAUUUUUGAAUGAGAUCCCUCUCCUUUAUCUGCAGCCUCUUCUACCGAGGCUGAGCUAGUUCGUAGCUAUAUUAAAUGCUAGGAUCUUCUCCCAGACAAAGGGAGGUUUGCAGCUUGCAUUGCAUCUUGGAUGGGAUGGGGACCUGCUGUUCAUUUUGGUUACAUUCGAAGAACUAGACAUUUAAGGGAAAAAAAACACAACAUACUCCCAUAAAAAACAAAUACAUGAAUAAAUUAAAAAAAAAAAAUCCAAACCCCCAUAGUUAAGAGAAACAAGAUCAUGCUGCAUGUUGUUAAUACUACUUGUGAAAACCAUCUCUGCUUUAUCUUUAUGCAGGUAACCUUCUGUGCUGAAUUUGUCCCCUCAGUACCCAGAAAUAGUGACCUCAGACACAUAUAGGCUGAUUAAGAAUUGGCCUUUUUAUGUUCGUACAACAACUUCGCAAAAUAAAGAGAGUUGAAAGUCACCUUUAUCUGAUGUUAUUCUUGCUAUUAAAGGACAGGUUCUGAAUAGUGCCCACCCCAUGCUUUAAAGCUUGUAAAAUGCUUUCUCAGCACUGUGCUACCAUAGGGUUCAAAGCAUAAUUCAACUGAAGUGGGAUGUAAGUGGGAUGUGUACUUGGAUUAUAUGACACACUAAAAUUAAAAUUAUCCCCGCAGAUCAUUCUCAUUUUAAAUUGCAACUCAAAUAUCUGAACCCAUUUUUGUAAAUUCUGAUGGUAACAAUUUUUGUUAUCGCCUUCAGAAAAAAGAAAUGCUUUGAGUUUGAGUGACAAUGAUUGCUCUCCCGCAGAAAAAAAAAGGCUACAAGAACUGUUCCAAAACUAAGUAAUGGGAAGAUCUUAUUCCAAGAAUCAUUAGGAAUCUGUUCUUCCUCUAUUAAUCUGGACCCAAAAUCUAAAAGUGACCAUAAAAAUUCAGUAUUUGAUUUUAAAGCUCUUCUGUUGUUCCAGAGAAGUUUUAUGGAAGGGACUGAAUCUCUUUCCAGCUUGCUUUCAUUUCUCUAUCAUGCAGUUUAAUUGUCUAACUUCUGAAAUAGGCAUUGUAAAGACACACUGAGGAGCCAAUUAUUUAUGUUUAUUUUCAAAUUUCUUUAGAUAUAAAAUAAUAAAGAUAAAAAGGCAAUAUUUGGAAUGGGCAGUGAAAAAAAAAGGUCCCAGCCAAGGUUUAUGUGUUGAAUUACUGAAUGUAGUAAUCGAUUUGUGCCUCACUCGUGUAAAAAAAUAAUAAUGAUUUCAGGACCCAGAUGAGAUAUGAGUGUAGAGAGAGAAAUUACAGAAUUACAGGUACAAUCAGUCUUAUAUUCAAUGUGUUUAUGUUUAUAUGGUUUGUAAUGAGAAGAAGAAAAAUCAAACAUACAACAAAUUUAUAGUGUUAUCUUAAUUGCCAGAGAAAUAACACUGUAAACUGAACAAUACAGUCCUACACGUAAUAUAUAAAAUAUUAUUUGUAGUCCAUGUUAUAAUAUUAAAUUAGUAUUAGAUAAUUAUAUGAAUUACAUGAAAAAUUUUAUUUUAUAUAUAGUAGUUAUUUUCAAUAAUGCUUUAUUGAAAUGCAAUUCUGUUUACAAUAAUAAAAUAUAAAAUAAUUAUAUUACAUCUUGUUUUUUAAAACAAAAUUUACACAUACUGUUCAUAUUAUUAAUGUUCUUUUCCAUACUGAAGAGUGGGCUAGAUUUAUUUAUUGGUUUAUGCUUAUGGUUUAUGCUUAAUAUAUGUUUUUAUGUCUAGAUCAUAUUGCAUUUAUUUUCUUAGGAAUUUGGAAUUUUAGGCAGGAAGUUUUCUUUAUUUUGCAACAUAAUUUUAUCCUUACCAAAUAUGCAGUGCUCUGCCUGGGCUGGCAUAGUCCGGUUAUAGGUUGUAUAAAUGCUUCUUGGGACCUCUCUAUAAACAAAAUAUAUUCUACACAGCUACAGUCUUUUUUCAGAAGAUAUUUUUCUUUUAAUUUUACUUUGAUUUUUUUUCCAUAUUCUGUUCUCUUUUACAUUGUCUUUGUGACUUUUAAAAAGAGCAAAAUGAUAUUGUAAGGGUCGUUAGUAAAGCUACUACUGACCUCUGGACAAAUGAAAACAAUUACAAACAGAGCUUUCACUUUCAUUUAUUUUUCUCUACAUUGUUUCUUUACACAUUUUGAUGCAGAAUUUAACCAGCAAACUCAGUAAUAACACAGUUUUUCCCUUCUGAAAAAGAAAACCCAUCCUUCAUACUGAAUAAAUUAUCUAGGAUUCACUGCCUUCCGUUCUUUUUUAACGGGGUUUCAUAAAUAUUAUCUGUCAAACUAUUAACAAGAACUGCCAGAUCCUUUGGCUCCUCUUUGGUGAGCUACAACACCAGUGAUCACCUUAAAAAAAAAAAAAAGAAAAGAAAAGAAAAUACCCUAAAUUUUGACGUUUUCACUCGAAACAAACACCGAAGCUUUUGAUUAAAUAAUGGCUUUGGGUUUAUUGAGGAAAAGAAAUAACGGCUUUGCCCUUCCUCUUUGACAUCAGUUGCAAUCAUGGCAUCAUGUUUUUGUUUUAUUUCCUUUCCCAGUGAUCUGGACCACUCUGACUGGAUUUUGUCUGAUGUCAUUUUAAGCUUGACCAGUAGAAGGUGAAGAUCAAUGUAAAUAAAUUCAAGGGCAAAAGUAUGGGGUAGUGACAUGUCCGCAAAACAAAAAAUAAGACUCUACAACAGCUGUGUGGUAUCAGUUUUGCUCGAUGCUGCGAAGACCUGGGGCAUUACGCAAGCUGACAAGAAAAGAUUUGAUGCAUUUGAUAGCAGGUGUUUAGGAGAGAUCAGUAAUGUCAAAUGGCUUCACUAUGUUGGGAACAUCAAGUUUCAGGAGAGAACAAGAAAGGAGAAGAUUAUGGACUUCCUAACAAGGAAGUGGCUUUGAAGGUCUGACCACCCAGUGAGCGUGGAGCAGGGCUGGGUGGUAGGAGAUGGUCUUGCGGGCUGGUUUUACUCUCCAGGGUUCCCAGCCCAUCCUGACUCAAGAAAAUGUUGGUGAAGUCAGGCAAAAUCUCUUCUAGAUUUUGACUUUAAACCUAUUUGCUAAAAAUGGCAAAGCCUUGGGCAAGGGCUGUUGUUUUACUUCUCCAGCAUGGAGGAUGUAGUUGUUACUCACAAAACUGGUGGGAAAAGAAUUGAAUGGGAACAUAAAAAUAAAAGACAACUUCUGUCAAGACACUACUGGCCAGCAGGAGUAUUCAUGGGAAUCAAGGAUUUCCAAACUAGGCCUCUAGGGUUUUGUAACACAUAGACCAUGCAGGCAAAAUGGGGUUUUACAGACUGUCAAGCCAAAAUCUACAUCAAUAGGCUGCACUGACCUCAAUGAACCUUGCACAGAUGUGAAUCAGAGUGUAGAAGUCACCUGUUGUUCACAUUUUCUUUCAGAAACAGCCUUUGUGCAUGUAGCUAGGGAGCAUCUCUUGAAAACUGUAGCCCAAGAAUGAUAACUUAAAACAGAUGGGAGCAAGAAAUAAUAAAGCCAGACCAUAUGGGUAGAAUGGACCUGUUCGAAGCAAGUGCAGCCAAAUACAUUAUGCUGUAGUAAUGUGUGAAAGAAGUUGUACUAAUAUAUGGGAUAUCUGUAAGUUGGAUUUUUUCACGAUUGAAUCAAGAAAAGGAAAUGUCGUCUAUAUGAAUGGUAAUAAGAGCCAUAUUUCAAAAAGAUCCAUGUAAAGUUCUUAUAUCAAGUAAUGUCAAAAGUAGCUCGUCAUCCAAACUAGGAUUUUACCUUUGUAAUUUACAAAACUCUGCUUUAUUUUUCAAAUGUUCUUGAAUAAGAACUAGUCCAGAAUUUAUUAAUAUUCUUUUUCAUAUAAAAUCUCUUUAGGUUGCAGCAAAGUAGACAGUAACUACAACCAGACACUUAAGACAUAUAAUCAAAUUUCUGUCAGCAGUAUACCUGUAUCACUGUUUUUGGACUAUCAUAUUUUCCCUUACUUUUCCAUGAAAAAUUUAGAACAGCCUUCCAAAAAUAGGUGAGUCUAAAGUGUAAUAGUUCAAGUGGUUGAAAUGUUAUUUCUCUGCAAUAUUGUGUGAUGCACUUUUAAAAGCAUAGGAGCACUAAUCCAUGAGUCCACAAAGAGAAUUUACUCUAAAAAUCAUUUAAAACCAACGAUAUUUACCCCAAGCUAUUUUCAGUUGAAACGUUGGCUUUAGUAUUCAAUGAGAGCAAGUAAAAAUAUUUACUCAGGCAGCUUAUUGGCCUAUCAAACAUCCAGCAUUCAGAAGAUCUCAUGACAGAGCAAACACUCAUACGAGUGCAAGGGGAAGGACAGACUGCCUUUAGCAGGACCCCAGCAUGCCAGGGCUCUGCAGAAUGAGACCUGGGUAAGGGCAAUGACAUUUAGCAAAUUACUAUAGAAAACUGAUAAGGGCAUGAUCCUUUUUUAUGCUGAAGAUCAUGUAUAAUGCCUGUGUGCUGUGCCCAAGUACCUAUUCAUAAAUUUAGAAUGGAAGCUCGUGGUAAGAUGCUGACAGGUGCCACAGAGCAAGUAAUAAACCCCUGCCCCAGGCAACAAUGUUCAGGCACUGGUUUGUACCUUGCAGCCUGGUACUGCAGUGGCCAACAAUCCAUCCCACAUAGCUCAGAAGGUGAUGUAGCAUUGGUGUAGGCCAGGAAGUUGAAUGAAGAUGCAGUUUUUGAAUCGUGAGGUUAACUCUUAACUAUGUUAUGUGUGCUCUCUAACAAAAACAACAUCCUUCUGGGUGUAUUUCAGAUGUGUGUGCAGAACUGUAGCGUGCCACUAAAAAGAUAAGUGAUGACUGUUUGCAGUUCUACUCUUUUAGCAUGUUUGUCAUGUCAUUUAAUAUAAUUCUGUUUUAGUGUUAGUAUGAGUAGAUUCUAAGGGUGGUAGUGCUGUGAAAUUGCCCCAUGCCAUAGUUUCUAUUUUUCCUGACCAUUCUUCUCUUCCAAAUAUUCUUAGAAGGGCAAGAGCACUUCUGGGAGGGCUUUUGCACAGAAUGAUAGCAGCCCUUCCUGGAAAGUCUCUCUGAUUAUAUAGCAUUUCUCACAAAUAAGCAAUACACCAUUUUGUUCAGGGUCUUGUGGUAUUCUAUAUCAUAGGAUGGACGUGGCAUAGCAGACUAAUCAUAGUGUUAAGUGUUAGAGUUUCAAGUGAAGGCGCAAUUCUGUAGGUGAAAAUGUACAAUCAUCUUGGCCACAGCCAACUGUUUCCCAGCCCAUAAACCCUCUAUCAGGAAAGUCUCUCUAAGGAGUCCUUUGUUACCAGGUCAGGAUGUGCUGAGGUCUCAAAUCAGUGAAUGGCCUCAUGUUAUUACUGCAAGAGAUUUUUGUGGCAAAAUGGUUGCGAUGUCAAAAAGACUUUUAGAAGAGUGGAGCGUGGGUCUCCAUGUCUCUGAGUUCACGAAUGUGGCAGAAAUCAGGCAGGAAAGCACUACAGUUAUAAUCUAACUUUUGAUUAAUGCUUGUUGGUUAUUGGUUUUUUGUUAUUUUGUUUUGUUUUUUGUCAGAAUAACAGUUUUGCCCAAAAAAGAAAUCUUCCAUGGGAAUACAACAAUUUUGAUUAGUUUUUUAAAGAAAAUUAUAGGAAACUUAAAAAAAAACGUAUUUGCUACAUUUUGAUAGGAAGAGGGAAAAGGACAGUUUGAUAAAACCCAUUCAGUUGUAUUCUAAAGGAGAUGGCUCGAGUGAUGGGCACUAGCUUUUUUUUACUGGAAUUUCUGUUCAUUUCCUUUCAGUUCUGCCUGAGAAUAGAAACAGGCUGAAACAUCAGAGUUUUGCAUAGGAUAGGAAUUCAAAGGUUUGACCCAGUCAUAAAAACAAAGAUAGCAAAUUGUAAGACCACAAUGUGUAAACACUUGGAAUGAAUAAAUUUUGGAAAUUCAUAUCUUAACCAAUUCCUAGCUGCAGGUGGAAAGCAGGUAGGUGCUCAGUUCUCAUUUAGGUGCACCUAGAUUCAUAGAAUCAUAAAAUGGCUUGGGUUGGAAGGGACCUUAAGGAUCAUCAAUCUCCAACUCCCCUGCCAUAGGCAGGGCCACCAGCCUCCAUAUCUCAUACAUAUCCCAGAAGAUGCCACCUUUCAUUCUUGCAUGAUUGUCCCUGCUGCUAGCUCAGAGGCACCAUGGUGACUUGUUGUCACCACCAUAUUUGCAGGGAGCAUCUAUGAGCAUAAAUUCUGCAGAAUUUAUGGAAGGGGAAAUGACUGAAAUCAUCAGCCUUCACACAAACAGUGUGUUUAGGCAAAAAAAGAGCUCUUCCAUUAUAGCUGAUGGCAUUUCAAUGGUAAAGAGAAAAGAAAUUGGUAUAUAAAUCUUCCAAACAAUACCUGGCUUACCAUCAAAGGCAGGUAAGGAAGGGACAGGAAGAGAGAGGUUGGCAACAUUAGACACAAACUUUUGAAGUUCUGAACAGGGGAGUUUACCUUGUUCCAAAGGAAAAAACUGGCUGCUCGUGACAGCUCCUAUGAAUUUCAGGAGGUAGAGUCACAGUUUCCCUACAACAGGGCAAGUUUUGUACAAGAUAAGAGGAAAAGCAUGGUUAUUCCUUUACACUGGAUGUUAUAUUGCUAGCCCAAAGAUGCUGUGGCAAUGGUCAUUUGUACAGUUUGGUUAUUAGCCUAACAUACUGCAGGUUGCUAAGAAAGCAGGCAGUGUGUGUAGAUGCCCUCCUCUACUGUGUACUGGUCUUUUUGUUGCAGCCUCAGAGUGCCCAGUAUGACAUCCUCUUCCACUUAGAGUGCUGCUGGUGUUCCUAUUCCACAGACAGGUAAUUGGAUGUAGGGCUGCACUGCCUUUCAAUCACAGGCAGAAACCCAAACUUUUAUUCACAAAUUCAUAGAAUCAUUAGAGCUGGAAAAGACCUCUAAGAUCAUCUAGUCCAACCAUCAACCAACCCCUCCAUGCCCACGAAUGCCCACAUGCCCACAUCUCUCAGUGCCACAUCUCUGCAGUCUUGUACACCUCCAGGGAUGGUGACUCCACCACCUCCCUGGGGAGCCUGUGUCAAUGCCCCAGCAAGAAAUGGAUAUUCAAAUAUAUAGAUCUGCAUUGCACAACACAUUGUCUGUGCUCUGGUGGAAGUAAGGAUGCUGAGCCUGCAGAACUCAUGAAUCUGCAGAAAGCUUUCCCUUAGCCUGGCAGGGUAAGUGUUUCACCACAUGUGGCUUGUGAAGUACAAGACUCAAAAUAAAGGUCGUUUGUCUUGAGGAUUCACAGACCUAAUAAUUCAGCAAGGGGGGAGGUGUUGUUUUUAGUGAAAUCCAAGGUGGCAGCAUCUUUGGAACGCAGCUCUUGUUUGUACAACAGAGCUUUUACACCAACAUUUGUACAGCUCAGCUUCUUCUCUUAAGCUUUUAAGACCUUGGUCUGCUUUACGGUGAUUUAAAGGGCAUCUGUGAUUUUACCCACCAAGUGUCUUCUGCUGUGUGAAGCGAAUGCUGCAUGGAGUUUACAAGUGCUUGUCUAUGACAUCUGGAUCUCGGAGCUCACAGGGAAAACCACCCUCACCCACCCUGCAGGAGGAGCACAAUGGCACAAUGGCACCCUCUGUUGCCCUGCGCGCUGCUCCCACGUGGAUGUAUGAACUCCUGAAAGUAUCCAUUCCCCAUCUCCAAAUCUCAUCUCUUCCCGCCGAGCUUCCUUGUUUGUUUGGAGUUAUCCUGUUAUUUCCAUUUGUAAUAAAACCCGUCUUGUUCUUUUUGUGCUGAGUGGAGAAACAUCGAGAGGAUUGUCACGCUCAUUUCAUGAACAGUUGGCCUCCUGUCCCCAUUUUGUCCUCCCUAAGUGGCAGCUCCUUGCAACAGUUGUAUUAACAACUGAGCUCAGCCCUGCAAAGUGGUGGGCAUUUCCAGCGUUAACUGGAAAGCAAUUAGUCUUGAUGAGAUUGGGCUGUCCAACUCUCAGACAAUUAAUUAAAUUACAGCUUGUCUUUCAUUUGGUUAAACAAAAACUUGAUUCAUUAAUUAAAAUACACUGUGAAUCUGAUUUUUUGCUCUGAUCCUCUGUGUGUUCGUAAGCAAACAACAAGUUCCUUUUAGGAACCAAAACAAAAUUCCUUCUGGAGCAUGACAAGUUUUCACUCCUAAUCACCUUGUAUCCAUGUGAACACACUUUAAUUGCUCAUUAACACAAAGUUAGCGGGCUGACACACAACUAGCUGCUUCUUUUGGACUUCUCUAACAGUAACUUUUUUGUGUGUGUCUCGUAAGGAGACCAGACGUUUCUCAGAAUCAAUCAACUUUUUCUGUGUUUUACUUCCAUGCCAUGCUGUAAAGGAUUGUACAGUUGCCUUGCUGUAAUGUUAUUAUUCAGGACUGAUUUUACUGUGAUGGCAUAAGAGGAAUUAGACAUGUCCAUUCUAUUGUUGUUGAUAUGACUGUGCCUAUUUUCCCCAUAUGCAGUCUGAAACAAUUAUCAGAAGCAGUACAUAGAACUCAUCACUUAGAAAUGAUUACUUAGAAGUCAUUAGAUGUUGUUAAUGUGAACAGAUUUUUGUAAAAGCCACGUUUUGUGCAGGACUGGUUAUUUUUAGAUAAAAAUAUUUAAACUGAAGAAGAGAUUUCAAUUUUUCAAAUUGUGAUGUACAGGAACUCAGUGAGAAUUAAAAAUCUGACAUAAGAUCCAGUAUAAAAAAAGUAUUUCAGUGCAUCUAUUUGACAAGCACAAAUGGUCUGUAAGUAUGUUGAAUUAUAACAAAAAAUGAGUUGGAAAUAUUUGGGAUACUCUGUCUGUUCAGUUUUAAGCAGCCUUACCUACUGUGCCAAUGACUUACAGUCAGGUUUGGAUUCUGUGUGCUCAUCAUCAGCUUUCAGGAUCCAUGCUACAUUUGCCUCCUUUGAUUCUGCAAAGAUUUUGUCAAGAAAUUGAACUGAAUUUUAUCCCAGGCCUCACAAAUACAACCAUGUUUGACAGUUGUGGGAAAGAAGGGGGUUCGAGCUGCAUCUAUUGUUUGUUCAGAAAUAUCUAAUUUCAUAAGUCAAAUUACUCGUAAUGAUUCCAUACUAAUUUGUUAUUUGAAUCCUUUGCAGGCCUACUUUCUCCCAGAUGAUGGGAGACAAGAGGAAUUGCCUAAGCUUUUGAUACUGUGUAGAUCUCUGCUGAAACACAUUCUGAUUGCUACUGAUCUAGACAUAUUUUUUUUCUUAUAAGCUUAAGCCCGCAAGCUUCAGAAUUUAGCAUAAAAGACCAGCUGUCACCUGAUUUUGUUGUUCUUUUUUUUAGAGAAACAAUUCAAUUUUAGGGGAAAAAAAGGCAACUCAAUGUUAAAAUGCCAAAGAAAAGCUUCUCUGAAAUGUAAACAAAACCAAAAUGACCAUACCUUAAAACAGCACAUUUCAACAGGAGUUGAAGUGUUCCUCCCUUCUGUUUUCUCAAACCGAAGUGCUGACAAAAUCAGUAUGUUUUCUGAAGUGUUUCAUUUUGAUCAGAUUUGCAUGUUUUGGUGAAAUAUGGAUCCAGUGAAGCGAUCCUGGCUGGCUGAAUGUGUUGUUUCUUUUGGUUUAUGGCAUCUGCGAGCCUAUCAAAACUGUCCCAGUCUUCCAUGAAUGGAGAAAUGAUUCCAGUUAAGUCAAAAAGAAAGAAAGAGAGAAAGAAAGAAAGAGAGAAAGAAAGAAAGAAAGAAAGAAAGAAAGAAAGAAAGAAAGAAAGAAAGAAAGAAAGAAAGAAAGAAAGAAAGAAAGAAAGAAAGAGAAAAAGAAAAAGAAAAAGAAAAAGAAAAAGAAAGAAAAAGAAAAACCAACCCUGAAGUGUUGUCACUCUUAUCCAGAAAACCAGGCCCAAGUGAACAUUCAGAAAAAGGAUAGAAAUAGAUGGAAGAGAUGUCAUUCCUUGUGAAGAAGGGGGGAAGUUUAGGUUAGAUGUUAGGAAGAAAUUCUUUUCUCAGAGGUUGGUGAGGCACUGGUACAGGCUGCCUGGUGAGUUGUAGAUGCCCCAUCCCUGGAAGUGCUGGAGGCCAGGUUGGAUGGGGCCAUGUGCAGCCUGAUCUGGUGUGGAGCAACCCAGCCCACAGCAAACGGCUAGGAGAGGAUGAACUUCAAGGUCCCUGCCAACCUAAGACAUUAUGUCAUUCUAUGAUUCUUUGAUUCUGUGCAGUCACCUGUCUUUGCAUGAUGGAGAAUACCAAUCCUCAGCCAAAGACAUCCUCAUUCCUUUUAUAUUUCCCUCACAUUUCCCUGUACACAUUUGCUACUGACUUGAUGUGGCAAAAAUGCCCAUUUGCACAAGCUGUGAGUCUUCUAGGGACUCCAUUGCCUGGCUUAUCACUUUAACAUCUGAUCUCAACUCUACUUUAAAAUUCAGAGCUGAAACAAAGGAUGCCAAACUAAACCAUGCACGUGUCCAUCUCCAGCUGAGAAGGGGACACGAAGAAAAGAAAUCUGUUGUCACCUCUGGAGAUGUGGUCCAUUUCCAAGCAAAAUCUGGGUACAAUGCAGCAGAAAGUCACCACGUGCCACGGAGUUGUUUCAGCCCUUAAAAAAAAACCAGAUUUGUUGAGGGUGACUCCUGUUUCCCCACUAGUACAUAAACAUUGUGUUUAGCUACACCAAUUCCCCAGGAGCGAUGAGCGUGCUGGCAGGUCAGGGGACCUGCUGUUGGGUUAUAUCAUUGUUAUGAGAGUCACACUGCUAAGAAGCUUUGAGUUGUACCCCAUGCUGAGAAUAAUCCAAAUAAUCUGCAACUCAAAGCAUCCCUCAUCAGGGAUCACUGUGAACACAGGCAAUUUCAGCUGACCCGAUGAGCUAAACAUAAACAUGUCAAGAUCUCAAUAGUACCAGAACAUUUGUUUUAAAUAUCCUGUGUGAAAUUGGUGCCAAUGGACAACAUCAAUCGUUUGCCAGAUGUUCUUUUCUCUAAUUUUACUGCAGAGCACAUACAAGUAUGUGCUGGAAUUAACAUGAUGACUGGGGAGAACACAGUAGCCAACCCUUGGUUUAUUGCAGCAGUGCAAAAGACAGUAAUUUCCAGGAAGAGAGAUUACUCCUGGUUCAAAAGACUGUGAGAUAUGCAUGCAGCCUCUCAAGGGAUAUAUAUAUCUCAUGCAAACAAAUAACAUGAUCUAUGAGCCCUUUAAGGUUAAGUUUUGACAGUGGUAGAACAGGUGAGAGCUUGGACUGUAUAGCUCUCUUCUCAUGAGCUGGAUGUUGUUAUCCAGAGAAGAAAGCAAAGUGCACAUCACUAGUAUUGAGGCUAACCACAACCACAAGCUCAGAGCAAUCUACAAUCUACAGCAGAAACCCAGAGUGGUAAAACUGCAACUGGAAUGAGGCAUAGAGAUGAGUCAAGUACGAGGGUUGCUCCAAAAGUAAUGCCUCCUGUUUUAUUCCGUUGGCCCAUUAUGUCAGUAGCAGAUGAUGGCAGUAGGGACUGAACCUUCCCACCAAUAUUCUGUUACAUUUUGUUGCUGUGUGACAGAUGGCAGCAGAGGGGCAGUCUGACAAAAUGGUGUCUGACAUGGAAGUGUGUAUGAAACAAAGGUGAAAGAUAAGGAAAGCUGGGACCGCAGAAAUUUAUCUGGUAAUUGCUGAGAUCUGUGUCCACGGCAAAUGUAUUCUGCACAGAAAGAGAGCGGAUGCACUGUUCCACAUCUACCAAAGCAUCAAAUGACGUUUUUCAGGGCAUUGCUGCUGUAACAUAUUGUGUAAAGAAACUAGAUCAGAAAUACUGAAACACAUAUAAAAAAAGAUAACGUGUCUUUCCAUCCACAUUGUCAAUAGAUUCAGAGCAGGAACAGUGCCAGAUUAAAGCAAAGCAAAUAUUUGCAGUAUAAUAUUUUAUUCAUCAGAAAUUCUUCAAGUUUUUGAUGGAUAUUUUUGGCUGAUACAGAAAUUCUUUAACUACAAAGUUUUAUUUGAGUGUUUUCAGAAACGCUGCUGAAUAUGAGUCUCUUAAGACUGAAAUCUUCUUAAAAAAAAACAACAAAAACAAACAAACAAAAAAACCCACAUAGAUAGAACAGAGCAUUCAUUUUUCUAUACAUUUACAUAAGUCUUUGGAGGUUUUUAGUGUGCAGUGGAUAAACUGAUGGAUUUAAAUGACACAGAUAUCCUCAGCGCAAAAUCUCAGAUCCUGGAGCUUUUAUUUACCAAAGGAAGCCAAACUCAAAACAUAUUUUGUUUACCUUUGGCCAUAUUUUCUUCAAGAUAUUACUUCAAAUGCAAGAGGGCAUGCCAUCUUAGGAAUAAUGUCUCUCUUUAUACAUCUUUAACAGAUUUCCUUCCUUCCUUCCUUCCUUCCUUCCUUCCUUCCUUCCUUCCUUCCUUCCUUCCUUCCUUCCUUCCUUCCUUCCUUCCUUCCUUCCUUCCUUCCUCCUUCC